GUGGGGAAUAUUGGACAAUGGGCGCAAGCCUGAUCCAGCCAUGCCGCGUGAGUGAUGAAGGCCUUAGGGUUGUAAAGCUCUUUCAGUGGGGACGAUAAUGACGGUACCCACAGAAGAAGCCCCGGCUAACUUCGUGCCAGCAGCCGCGGUAAUACGAAGGGGGCUAGCGUUGUUCGGAUUUACUGGGCGUAAAGCGCACGUAGGCGGAUCGUUAAGUCGGGGGUGAAAUCCUGGAGCUCAACUCCAGAACUGCCUUCGAUACUGGCGAUCUUGAGUCCGGAAGAGGUGAGUGGAACUCCUAGUGUAGAGGUGGAAUUCGUAGAUAUUCGGAAGAACACCAGUGGCGAAGGCGACUCACUGGCCCGUUACUGACGCUGAGGCGCGAAAGCGUGGGGAGCAAACAGGAUUAGAAACCCGGGUAGUCC
rnacentral:rRNA from 1 species